rnacentral:sRNA from 1 species
UCCAGGUGCGGUGGCGCACACCUGUAAUCCCAGCACCUCGGGAGGCUCAGACAGGAGGAUUGUGAGUUCAAAGCCAGCCUCAGCAACAGUGAGGCACUAAGCAACUCAGUGAGAUCCUGUCUCUA